GAUGAAGAACGUAGCAAAAUGCGAUAAGUAAUGUGAAUUGCAGAAUUCAGUGAAUCAUCGAAUCUUUGAACGCACAUUGCGCCCGCUGGUAUUCCGGCGGGCAUGCCUGUUCGAGCGUCAUUUCAACCCUCAAGCCCCCGGGUUUGGUGUUGGGGAUCGGCUCUGCCCUUCUGGGCGGUGCCGCCCCCGAAAUACAUUGGCGGUCUCGCUGCAGCCUCCAUUGCGUAGUAGCUAACACCUCGCAACUGGAACGCGGCGCGGCCAAGCCGUAAAACCCCAACUUCUGAAUGUUGACCUCGGAUCAGGUAGGAAUACCCGCUGAACUUAAGCAUAUCAAUAAGCGGAGGA
rnacentral:misc_RNA from 1 species